GUAUUUUGUACAAUCGGCCGACAAGCCCGAUGACAUUAGCUGAGUCAUCGAACCAGAAUUCGGGAGAACUUAGUGGUCGUAAGUCAACACAACAGUGACCUGCACCUUCGUGUAGUUUGAAAGAUUCAAGUCUUUUCAACAAUAAACUGACCUUCAGUAAGAUUUUUCAUGGAGGAAGAAGUGGCAUGGUGAUGCUCCAUCCUUUCCGUCGAGUGCUCCUAAAGGUCAGAAGCAUGCAGCUGGCAUCGGACAUACAUGUAGCAAGCUCAGCACAGAAUACCUGGCUCCCUGAGACUGAGCAGGUGUAUACCCAGCUCCGAGCCCGGGCAGAG